rnacentral:rRNA from 1 species
AUGGACUUCAUUGAGGGCCUUCCCAAGGUGGGCGGCAAGUCAGUCAUCCUCACGGUGGUCGACCGCUUCUCCAAGUACGCCCACUUCAUAGCGCUCGGCCAUCCAUACACGGCGGCGUCCGUGGCCCGGGCCUUCUUCGACGGCAUCGUCCGUCUACACGGGUUCCCUGCUUCGAUCGCCAGUGAUCGAGACCCAAUGUUCACGGGCCAUGUCUGGCGCGACCUCUUCAGGAUGGCGGGUGUCCAGCUCCGCCUGAGUACGGCGUUCCAUCCUCAGACGGACGGUCAGUCCGAGGUGGUUAACAAGGUCAUUGCCAUGUAUUUGCGUUGUGUGACAGGUGAUUGGCCUCGUGCUUGGGUGAACUGGCUCUCUUGGGCGGAGUACUGCUACAACACCUCUUAUCACUCCGCCCUGCGCGCUACGCCAUUUGAGGUGGUCUAUGGUCGACCACCCCUGCCUAUACUUCCGAUGGAUCCGGAGACAGCCCGGACAGAGGUUGCGGGUGACCUCAUCCGCACUCGUGACGAGAUGCUUGCUGAGGUUCGUCAGCGUCUCCUUCAGGCCCAGCAGCUGGCCAAGCACUACUACGACGAUCAUCAUCGCGAGGCGGAGUUCGCGGUGGGUGAUUGGGUGUGGCUGCGUCUUCUCCACCGCUCUACGCAGUCACUCGACCCGCGCGGGAAGCGCAAGCUCGGCCCUCGCUACGCCGGGCCCUUCCCUAUCUUGGAGCGCAUUGGGAAGGUGGCCUAUCGUCUUCAGCUUCCAGCCCGCGCUCGCAUCCACGACGUCUUCCAUGUGGGGCUGCUCAAGCCUUUCCGUGGCGAGCCACCGGCGGCUCCACCGGCACUUCCUCCCAUCGCCAAUGGUCGCAUUCUUCCAGAGCCGGCAAAGGUGUUGCAGGCGCAGCUCCGUCGUGGCGUCUGGUUCAUCCUCGUUCAAUGGGCAGGCCUUCCAAAGGAGGAGGCUACUUGGGAGCAGCGUGAAGAAUUCCGCCAACACUAUCCAGACUUACAGCUCGAGGACGAGCUGUUUGCGCAGGCGGGGAGAGAUGUUAUGACCGGUUUGGUCUAUACCAGAAAGAGGCCCACCGGGCAUUAG